rnacentral:lncRNA from 1 species
CUCCUCCUCCUCCUCCUCCCCGCCGGGGUGAAACUCGAGCGCCCCACCCGCGCCUGACCUCCCCGAGCCCCUCCCCGGGCCCCGCCCCUUCCCGGUACAGGACCCCCACCUUCGCUCCUGGGAGCCCCGCUGCACCCCAGGAGUUCCAUUCCAGCCUCCCCAGUGCGAGUGCGGCCGAGCGCUGACUUUUGGGGGCUCCCUCCCCCGUCUCACUGGGUCCCUCUGCGGCUCCCCCGCCCGCUGUCCCGGUUCAGACGUGGCUGCACCCCGGAGGGGGGCGCCGGCCGAGACCUGAGACGUGGCGCUCCCUCUCUGCCGGCCUCGGCUUCAGUGCUUGAAUUUCAGCCACAUCCCUAAGCUGCCAUCUCAGACCAGAGGAACAGGGAGGGGGGCUUUCUGGAAAGAACAUCACCUGGAAGAAAUCAGGACAUGACUGUGGGCCAUGAGUGACCUUCAAAGGAAAGCCGGGUAUCUGUGGUCUUUAAGAUGUGAUCCAUGACAUUUAAAAACUGAAGAAAUGGAAAGAUCAUCUGAUCAGGCCCAUCAGUCUUUUUCCUAAUGCUAAACAUUGGUACAAAGACGUGAAGUUUGAUGUCUCACUAAGAUUGCCUAGGGCUGCUUUAUUGCUCACCUACUUCAAAGUAUUGGGAAAACAUGAUUAUGGGUACAGGUGAUGCUGUGUUGCCCCCAGACAGGUUUCUUUUGUCAGGUUCUUUUGAUGGAUUAGGAACCUACAAGUGGGGAGAUUUUAGGGAAAUAGCCCCUCCACUUGGAUUUCACCAAAACGUCUUUAGGGUUCUCUUACCCCAAGAAACACGCAUUCCUCUUUAGUGUGGCAGCCCACUCUAUUGGCAAAGUUAAGCAGACCAGUUUUACUAAAAAGGAGCCACCCAGAAACUUAGACAGAAAAUACUUGAGGCACAGAUGAGAAUGAGCACAAAUGUGCAUAGCAAGUGCAGUUUCCUGGCCCUUAAACUGAAGGGCCAGGUCAGUCUGCUCCUCCAGGCACAGCCUGGGACCCCAUCAUGUGCCCCACUCUGCAGUCUGAGCUUCCACUCAAGUCCACCAGGGCCUGCCUCACAUAUAUAUACAAGACCCAAUGUCAGAGUCUGCCUCUGCCCAUGUCUGGUCAGAGGGUUGCACUUUGCCACUGCUACAUGUUCCCAGAGGUUGGCACAGCAUGACCUGGACCUCACCUAACCCAGGCAAACUCUGCUCAUCUUCGAGCUCUCUGGAACCCAUUUCUCAAGGGAGAACCACAUUCCCCCACCUCACAGCCAAGUUCAAGGAAGCAGCCUGGCUAAAGCAAUGACUCAAGGAUACCAGAAGCAGAGCACGCAUUUAAGAAGAUGCGCUGACUCGCAGGAGCAGCUGACUCUUCUUAAGAAGAGUUUACUGAUUCUUCUUUCAGUACGGGCCUUUUAAUAAGAUAUUGUAUUUUACUUCAGCUAUGGGUGCAGACAAUUAAAGGAUUCUAGAAAUCUGAAAAAAAAAAAAAAAAAA